UACAUAAAAAUAAUAAUAAGCCUCCGCUACUGAGAAAUUACUAUACACCAGGACAGUGCUCAGCAUGAUCUUAUUUACUCCUAGGAACAGCCUGAUGAAAUAAAUCUUACUUGGUGUCAGGCCUCUGAGCCCAAGCCAAGCCAUCGCAUCCCCUGUGACUUGCACGUAUACGCCCAGAUGGCCUGAAGUAACUGAAGAAUCACAAAAGAAGUGAAUAUGCCCUGCCCCACCUUAACUGAUGACAUUCCACCACAAAAGAAGUGUAAAUGGCCUGUCCUUGCCUUAACUGAUGACAUUACCUUGUGAAAGUCCUUUUCCUGGCUCAUCCUGGCUCAAAAAGCACCCCCACUGAGCACCUUGUGACCCCCACUCCUGCCCGCCAGAGAACAAACCCCCUUUGACUGUAAUUUUCCUUUACCUACCCAAAUCCUAUAAAACGGCCCCACCCUUAUCUCCCUUCACUGACUCUCUUUUCAGACUCAGCCCGCCCGCACCCAGAAAGAUCCACCUAUGACCUCAGGUCCUCAGACUGACCAGCCCAAGGAAUAUCUCACCAAUUUUAAAUCAGGUAAGCGGCCUCUUCUUACUCUCUUCUCCAACCUCUCUCACUGUCCCUCAACCACUUUCUCCUUUCCACUCUUCAAUCUCUCCCUUCUCUUAAUUUCAAUUCCUUUCAUUUUCUGGGAGAGACAAAGGAGACACGUUUUAUCCGUGGACCCAAAACUCUGGCGCCGUUCACGGACUAGGAAGGCAGCCUUCCCUUGGUGUUUAAUCAUUGCAGAGAAGCCUCUCUGAUUAUACUCAUGUUUCAAGGGUGUCAGACCACGCAGGGACACCUGCCUUGGUCCUUCACCCUUAGCAGCAAGUCCUGCUUUUCUGGGGAAGGGGCAAGUACCCCAACCCCUUCUCUCCUUGUCUCUACCCCUUCUCUGCUUUUCUGGGAGAGGGGCAAGUACCCCUCAACCCCUUCUCCUUCACCCUUAGCGGCAAGUCCCGCUUUUCUAUGGGGCAAGAACCCCAAUCCCUUAUUUCCACACCCCAACCUCUUAUCUCUGCACCCCAAUCCCUUAUUUCCGUGCCCCAACCUUGUAUCUCUAUGCCCCAAUCCCAUUUCCGCACCCCAACCUCUUAUGUCCCUGCGCCCCAAUCCCUUAUUUCUGCACCCUGACCUCUUAUCUCUGUGCCCCAACCCCUUUUCCCACUUUUCUGGAAGGUAAGAACCCCCGAACCCCUUCCCUCUGUUUCUCUAUUCUCUUUUCUCUAGGCUUGCUUCCUUCACUACGGGCAACCUUCCACCCUCCAUUCCUCCUUCUACUCCUUUGGCCUGUGUUCUCAAAAACUUAAAACCUCUUCAACUCACACCUGACCUAAAACCUAAAUGCCUUAUUUUCUUCUGCAAUGCUGCUUGACCCCACUACAAACUCAACAGUAGUUCCAAAUAGCCAGAAACUGGCACUUUGAAUUUUUCCAUCCUGCAAAAUCUAAAUAAUUCUUGUCAUAAAAUAGGCAAACGGUCUGAGGUGCCUGACGUCCAGGCAUUCUUUCACACAUCAGUCCCUUCCUAGUCACUGUGCCCAGAGCAACUCGUCCCAAAUCUUUCUUUCCCUCCCGCCUGUCCCCUCAGUACCAACCCCAAGCGUCGCUGAGUCUUUCUAAUCUUCCUUUUCUACAGACCCAUCUGACCUCUCCCUUCCUCCCCAGGCUGCUCCUCACCAGGCCGAACUAGGUCCCAAUUCUUUCUCAGCCUCUGCUCCUCCAACCUAUAAUCUUUUUAUCACCUCCCCUCCUCACACCUGGUCUGGCUUACAGUUUCGUUCCGUGACUAGCCCUCCCCCUCCUGCCCAGCAAUUUACUCCUAAAAAGGUGGCUGGAGCUAAAGACAUAGUCAAGGUUAAUGCUCCUUUCCUUAUCCCAAAUUAGAAGCGUUUAGGCUCUUUUUCAUCAAAUAUAAAAAUCCAGCCCAGUUCAUGGCUCGUUUGGCAGCAACCCUGAGACGCUUUAUAGCCCUAGACCCUAAAAGGUCAAAAGGCCGUCUUAUUCUCAAUAUACAUUUUAUUACCCAAUCUGCUCCCAACAUUAAAUAAAACUCCAAAAAUUGGAAUCUGGCCCUCAAACCCCACAACAGGACUUAAUUAACCUCACCUUCAAGGUGUACAAUAAUAGAAAAAAGUUGCAAUUCCUUGCCUCCACUGUGAGACAAACCCCAGCCACAUCUCCAGCACACAAGAACUUCCAAACGCCUGAACCGCAGCGGCCAGGCGUUCCUCCAGAACCUCCUGCCCCAGGAGCUUGCUACACGUGCCGGAAAUCUGGCCACUGGGCCAAGGAAUGCCCGCAGCCUGGGAUUCUUCCUAAGCCGCUUCCCAUCUGUGUGGGACCCCACUGAAAAUCGGACUGUUCAACUCACCUGGCAGCCACUCCCAGAGCCCCUAGAACUCUGGCCCAAGGCUCUCUGACUGACUCCUUCCCAGAUCUUCUCGGCUUAGCGGCUGAAGACUGACACUGCCAGAUCACCUCGGAAGCCCCCUAGACCAUCACGGACGCCGAGCUUCGGGUAACUCUCACAGUGGAAGGUAAGCCCGUCCCCUUCUUAAUCAAUACAGAGGCUACCCACUCCACAUUAGCUUCUUUUCAAGGGCCUGUUUCCCUCGCCUCCAUAACUGUUGUGGGUAUUGACAGCCAGGCUUCUAAACCUCUUAAAACUCCCCAACUCUGGUGCCAACUUAGACAAUACUCUUUUAAGCACUCCUUUUUAGUUAUCCCCACCUGCCCAGUUCCCUUAUUAGGCUGAGACACUUUAACUAAAUUAUCUGCUUCCCUGACUAUUCCUGGACUACAGCUAUAUCUCAUUGCCGCCCUUCUUCCCAAUCCAAAGCCUCCUUUGCAUCCUCCUCUUGUAACCCCCCACCUUAACCCACAAGAUACCUCUACUCCCUCCUUGGCGACCGGUCAUGCACCCCUUACCAUCUCAUUAAAACCUAAUCACCCUUACCCCACUCAACGCCAAUAUCCCAUCCCACAGCACGCUUUAAAAAGAUUAAAGCCCGUUAUCACUCGCCUGCUACAGCAUGGCCUUUUAAAACCUAUAAACUCUCCUUACAAUUCCUCCAUUUUACCUGUCCUAAAACCAGACAAGCCUUACAAGUUAGUUCAGGAUCUGCGCCUUAUCAACCAAAUUGUUUUGCCUAUCCACCCUGUGGUGCCAAACCCAUAUACUCUCCUAUCCUCAAUACCUCCCUCCACAAUCCAUUAUUCUGUUUUGGAUCUCAAACGUGCUUUCUUUACUACUCCUUUGCACCCAUCAUCCCAGCCUCUCUUCGCUUUCACUUGGACUGACCCUGACACCCAUCAAGCUCAGCAAAUUACCUAGGCUACACUGCCGCAAAGCUUCACAGACAGCCCCCAUUACUUCAAUCAAGCCCAAAUUUCUUCCUCAUCUGUUACCUAUCUCGGCAUAAUUCUCAUAAAAACACACGUGCUCUCCCUGCCAAUUGUGUCUGACUGAUCUCUCAAACCCAAGCACCUUCUACAAAACAACAACUCCUUUCCUUCCUAGGCAUGGUUAGCGCGGUCAGAAUUCUUACACAAGAGCCAGGACCGCACCCUGUAGCCUUUCUGUCCAAACAACUUGACCUUACUGUUUUAGCCUAGCCCUCAUGUCUGCGUGCAGCGGCUGCCGCUGCUUUAAUACUUUUAGAGGCCCUCAAAAUCACAAACUAUGCUCAACUCACUCCCUGCAGUUCUCAUAACUUCCAAAAUCUAUUUUCUUCCUCAUACCUGACGCAUAUACUUUCUGCUUCCCGGCGCCUUCAGCUAUACUCACUCUUUGUUGAGUCUCCCACAAUUACCGUUGUUCCUGGCCCAGUCUUCAAUCCGGCCUCCCACAUUAUUCCUGAUACCACACCUGACCCCCAUGACUGUAUCUCUCUAAUCCACCUGACAUUCACCCCAUUUCCCCAGAUUUCCUUCUUUCCUGUUCCUUACCCUGAUCACGCUUGAUUUAUUGAUGGCGGUUCCACCAGGCCUAAUCGCCACAUACCAGCAAAGGCAGGUUAUACUAUAGUACAAGCCACUAGCCCGCCUCUUAGAACCUCUCAUUUCCUUUCCAUUGUGGAAAUCUAUCCUCAAGGAAAUAACUUCUCAGUUUUCCAUCUGCUAUUCUACUACUCCUCAGGGAUUAUUCAGGCCCCCUCCCUUCCCUACACAUCAAGCUUGAGUAUUUGCCCUACCCAGGACUGGCAAAUUAGCUUUACUCAACAUGCCCGAGUCAGGAAACUAAAAUACCUCUUAGUCUAAAUAGACACUUUCACUGAAUAAGUAAAGGCCUUUCCUACAGGGUCUGAGAAGGCCACCGCAGUCAUUUCUUCCUUUCUAUCAGACAUAAUUCCUCAGUUUGGCCUUCCCACCUCAAUACAGUCUGAUAAAGCCUUUAUUAGUCAAAUCAGCCAAGCAGUUUUUCAGGCUUUUAGUAUUCAGUGAAACCUUUAUGUCCCUUAUGGUCCUCCGUCUUCAAGAAAAGUAGAAUGGACUAAAGGUCUUUUAAAAACACACCUCACCAAGCUCAGCCACCAACUUAAAAAGGACUGGAGAAUACUUCUACAACUUUCCCUUCUCAGAAUUCAGGCCUGUCCUCGGAAUGCUACACGGUACAGCCCAUUUAAGCUCCUGUAUAGACGCUCCUUUUUAUUAGGCCCCAGUCUCAUUCCAGACACCAGACCAACUUAGACUGUGCCCCCCUCCAAAAAAAAAACUUGUCAUCCCUACUAUUUUCUGUCUAGUCAUACUCCUAUUCACCGUUCUCAACUACUCAUACAUGCCCUGUUCUUGUUUACACUGUCGGUUUACACUGUUUUUCCAAGCCAUCACAGCUGAUAUCUCCUGGUGCUAUCCCCAAACUGCCACUCUUAACUCUUGAACUAAAUAAAUAAUCUUUGCUAGCAGGACUCUGCCGAAUCUCCUUAGGCACUCUCUAAUCAGAUAUCCUGAGUUGUCCCAAUUCUUAGACCUUUUAUACCUGUUUUUCUCCUUCUGUUAUUCCAUUUAGUUUUUCAAUUCAUACAAAACCGUAUCCAGGCCAUCACCAAUCAUUCUAUAUGACAAAUGUUUCUUCUAACGUCCCCACAAUAUCAGCCCUUACCACAAGAUCUCCCUUCAGCUUAAUCUCUCCCACUCUAGGUUCCCACGCCGCCCCUAAUCCCGCUUGAAGCAGCCCUGAGAAACAUCACCCAUUCUCUCUCCAUACCACCCCCAAAAAUUUUUGCCGCCCCAACUCUUCAACACUAUUUUGUUUUAUUUUUCUUAUUAAUAUAAGAAGGCAGGAAUGUCAGGCCUCUGAGCCCAAGCCAAGCCAUCGCAUCCCCUGUGACUUGCACGUAUACGCCCAGAUGGCCUGAAGUAACUGAAGAAUCACAAAAGAAGUGAAUAUGCCCUGCCCCACCUUAACUGAUGACAUUCCACCACAAAAGAAGUGUAAAUGGCUGGUCCUUGCCUUAACUGAUGACAUUACCUUGUGAAAGUCCUUUUCCUGGCUCAUCCUGGCUCAAAAAGCACCCCCACUAAGCACCUUGCGACCCCCACUCCUGCCCGCCAGAGAACAAACCCCCUUUGACUGUAAUUUUCCUUUACCUACCCAAAUCCUAUAAAACGGCCCCACCCUUAUCUCCCUUCGCUGACUCUCUUUUCGGACUCAGCCCGCCUGCACCCAGGUGAAAUAAACAGCCAUGUUGCUCACACAAAGCCUGUUCGGUGGUCUCUUCACACGGACGCGCAUGAAACUUGGCAUUGCCAUUUUACAGAUGAAGGCCAGGAAGUUUCAGCAAUCUGCCCAAGUUAGGAAGUGGAGAGCUGGAGGUCCCACCCAGGACUGCCUCGUGGAUGCAGCUUCUCUUGCCCUCAUAGCUUCUCUCUCGUGAUACACGUUAGGCUGUCCUACUUCCUCCAGGAAGUCACCCCACGUUCUCGUGAGCCAACAACACCAUUCUUCACACAUCAACAAUGUGAGCCAACUCCCACAUAAAAUGCCCACCAACAGACCAACUGCGGGGCAUUUCAUCCCGAAAUAUGUAGCAGCUGGAUACAGAACAGAAAGAGACACGAGGUGGAGACACGAGGGUUCAGGCUGGUUUGUCUACAGUGGAAUGGAGUCUCCUAAACUCAAUGGCAAAGGUCACAGGAUGGUCAGCUGUGAGAAGACAGCAGGGAAUCAAGGGCAGCAGCUUGUUUUGUCCUACAAACACUGUCCUAAAAACACUGCAAAAUUCUCAUGUUGAAACAAAACUCCUGGAUAUCUACACAAAAAUCUGCACACAAAUAUUCCUAGCAACAUUACUCAUAAUACCCCAAAAGUGGAAACCACCUCACUAUGAACGGAGUGUCUCCAAAAUUCAUAUGUUGAAGUCUUAAUCUCCAUUGUGAUGAUAUUUGAAGGUGGGGCUUUGGGGAGGUAAUUAGGGAGAAGGAGGAGCCUUCGCGAAUGGAAUUGAUGCCAUUAGAAGAAGAGACAGGAGAGAGAUCAUCUCUCUCUGCCACGGGAGGAUCCAGCAUAAAGACGGCGUCCUGCAAGAGCUCCCUCACUGAGCACUGUGAUCACCCAGUCUGAUCACAGACUUCCAGACUCCAGAACUGUGAGAAAUAAACAUCUGUUGUUUAAGCCACUCAGGCUGCAGUGAGUGCUGUGGCAGCCAAACAGACUAAGACAAACCCAAAUGCCCAUUUACUGAUAAAUGGAUGCAUAAAAUAUUAUAA